UUACAUUGUUAACUCGGCGCUCCAGUACAAGAAGCAUAAAUCAAAUGCUAAUGACAGCGAAGAAACAUUGUCUAAUCGAAAAAGUUGUAUCCAGUAACGUCAGCGACCGGCUUCCCAGAAAGGCUCCUCUUUCUAUUGUGAAUUUAUUGAGAAACCAUAUAGGAAUAUCUAUUGUGAGUUUUCCGAAUCCGUAGUUUUGCAUGGAAUGUUUCACGUCGGCAACUGUCCGAGGGAGUAUCCUUCUCAACAGUAUGACGCUUCACUUCUUUGAGUUGAGUUUAGAGAAAGCAGUAGCUGCUCAUCUUUUCGAUAUGUUCUCUACCGAGAAGUAGGAGCCUGUGGAGAGGACGAGUGAGCUCAGUUAUCUUAACGAUGGAAAUGGCUUCCUUCUGUUCAGCUAUCUCUCUGCUAUCACAACGUCUACUCAUUUUGUCGAUGAUCCAUCUACUUGGGAUCGUUCUCUGUCGUUCCACCUGUAGCUCCUUUAUUAUAGGAUAUCAAAAUAUAGGAAGGGGAGGAACCUGAUUGCUGGGAAGUGUUUAUAAGACAGUGAGGCCUUCUGUAAUGGGAAAGAAGAUCACAGUCCUAAUACUAUGGAUUAUUGCUCAAUAUAUAACAGAUGUUGUCGGACAAACAACUCAUUACCUCCCAUGGUCUCUGGAAACCAACUUUCUUGAAUGGGACAAGAACAACACUAUAUACGUUAAUGACAGAAUAGGUUAGCUUCUCUCUCUUUUUCCUUUCGUGUUGUCUUCUAUGUCACUGAUAGCUAGGAAUAUUGAAGAGACUAACAUUUAACGAUAAAGAUUACAUCCAUAACAUUUGACUUGUUAUGCAUCAAUUCGUAUUUAAUAGUAUUGCUUGAGCUAAAGGUAAGUUACGUGUCUCUUGACUCUUUGCUUAUGUGCCUUUAGAGACUCCAACAUUAGUUGAUGAAAAGUAUGUAGUUGCAGAUCUUGGAUUCUUCAUUAAUUUGUGGUAGCUAUGUGUCCACAUUUUGGAGUAAAACUUGAAUUUUUUCAACUAAAUUUUCUUCUUGAAUCUCAUCACCGAAUAUUCUAAUUUGGUUGAGAUUUUCUUAUACUCUAUAGAACAUUGUUGAAUGCUUUCACUUUCUUUGAUUUCUAAAGGAUCACAGUCCCUCUACAGUGAUUGCACAUUAAUGGAGAUGGCUUGGUAGAUCCUUCAAACUCCUUUUUUUUAGACUUUACCAUGC